UACGUAGGGGGCAAGCGUUGUCCGGAUUUAUUGGGCGUAAAGAGCGUGUAGGCGGCCAGGUAGGUCCGUUGUGAAAACUCGAGGCUCAACCUCGAGACGCCGAUGGAAACCAUCUGGCUAGAGUCCGGAAGAGGAGAGUGGAAUUCCUGGUGUAGCGGUGAAAUGCGCAGAUAUCAGGAAGAACACCCGUGGCGAAGGCGGCUCUCUGGUACGUGACUGACGCUGAGACGCGAAAGCCGUGGGGAGCAAACAGG
rnacentral:rRNA from 1 species